GUCGAACGGUGUCUUCGGACACAGUGGCGGACGGGUGAGUAACGCGUGAGAAUCUGCCAUCAGGUCUGGGACAACCACUGGAAACGGUGGCUAAUACCGGAUGUGCCCGUAAUUGGGUGAAAGGUUAACUGCCUGUUGAUGAGCUCGCGUCUGAUUAGCUAGUUGGAAGUGUAAUGGACUCCCAAGGCGACGAUCAGUAGCUGGUCUGAGAGGACGAUCAGCCACACUGGGACUGAGACACGGCCCAGACUCCUACGGGAGGCAGCAGUGGGGAAUUUUCCGCAAUGGGCGAAAGCCUGACGGAGCAAUACCGCGUGAGGGAGGAAGGCUCUUGGGUCGUAAACCUCUUUUCUCAGGGAAGAACACAAUGACGGUACCUGAGGAAUAAGCAUCGGCUAACUCCGUGCCAGCAGCCGCGGUAAUACGGAGGAUGCAAGCGUUAUCCGGAAUGAUUGGGCGUAAAGCGUCCGCAGGUGGCAAUGUAAGUCUGCUGUUAAAGAGUCUAGCUCAACUAGAUAAGAGCAGUGGAAACUACAUAGCUAGAGUACGUUCGGGGCAGAGGGAAUUCCUGGUGUAGCGGUGAAAUGCGUAGAGAUCAGGAAGAACACCAGUGGCGAAGGCGCUCUGCUAGGCCGUAACUGACACUGAGGGACGAAAGCUAGGGGAGCGAAUGGGAUUAGAUACCCCAGUAGUCCUAGCCGUAAACGAUGGAUACUAGGCGUG
rnacentral:rRNA from 7 species